CUAACAAGGAUUCCCCUAGUAACUGCGAGUGAAGCGGGAAAAGCUCAAAUUUAAAAUCUGGUGGUUUCGGCCAUCCGAGUUGUAAUCUAGAGAAGUGCUACCCGCGCUGGUCCGUGUACAAGUCUCUUGGAACAGUGCGUCAUAGAGGGUGAGAAUCCCGUCUCUGACACGGGCUUCCAGUGCUUAUGUGGUGCGCUCUCAAAGAGUCGAGUUGUUUGGGAAUGCAGCUCAAAAUGGGUGGUAAACUCCAUCUAAAGCUAAAUAUUGGCGAGAGACCGAUAGCGAACAAGUACCGUGAGGGAAAGAUGAAAAGAACUUUGGAAAGAGAGUUAAACAGUACGUGAAAUUGUUGAAAGGGAAACGCUUGAAGUCAGUCGCGUUGGCGGAGGAUCAACCUGCCUCUCGGUGGGAGCACUUCUCUUUCGACGGGUCAGCAUCAAUUUUGACCGGUGGAUAAAGGUUGAGGGAAUGUGGCAUCCUCGGAUGUGUUAUAGCCCUUGGUCGCAUACAUCGGUUGGGAUUGAGGAACUCAGCACGCCGCAAGGCCGGGGUCUAACCCACGUACGUGCUUAGGAUGCUGGCAUAAUGGCUUUAAUCGACCCGUCUUGAA
rnacentral:rRNA from 1 species